UCUUUCAUUUUAUAGCCAAACUAACUCAUUAAUAAUACAACUUAUUUUGUCGAGUUGAUCUCUUUCAAAGAGAUAAGUCAAACAAAAAUAAAAGAAUUGUGAAGAGAGAUAAAGAAAGACGAGGAAAAGGAGAAACAAGAGACGAUGGGUUAUUGUUUUGCGAUUAAGCUGUGUUUAUGCAUCUUCUUUGCACUUUCAAUCGUCUCUACGGCUCGAAUCGGUUUUUCAUUUUCAGGAAAUGAAAGAGAUGGUGGUGAGAGGAAGAUCAUUGAUGAUGGUGAGCACCAAUGACUACGACGAGCCAUCGGCGAACGGCAGACACAACCCACCUGGUGGGAGGCAUGGUGGAGGUCGGAGAGGGUGAAGAAUACAAAAUGUUUCUUAUUGUUAACAAAUUUUAAAGAAAAUAACGAGAUUAUGUUUUGGAUAUAUAUUUUUAAAGUUUACUCAUUUAUAUCAUCACGUUCAUCUC